rnacentral:tRNA from 1 species
GGGCCCGUAGCUCAGCUAGGACAGAGCGCCGGCCUCCUAUCCGUCAUGCGGGGUUUCGUCGGGAAGAAAGCCGGUGGUCCGGGGUUCAAAUCCCCGCGGGCCCG